UACGUAGGGGGCAAGCGUUGUCCGGAAUCAUUGGGCGUAAAGAGCGUGUAGGCGGCCCGAUAAGUCCGCCGUGAAAGCCCAGGGCUCAACCCUGGGAUGCCGGUGGAUACUGUCGGGCUAGAGUUCGGAAGAGGCAAGUGGAAUUCCUGGUGUAGCGGUGGAAUGCGUAGAGAUCCGGAAGAACACCGGUGGCGAAGGCGGCCUGCUGGGCAGUGGCUGACACUGAGGCGCGACAGCGUGGGGAGCAAACAGG
rnacentral:rRNA from 1 species